GGACUGUGGCUUAGUGGUGGAGUGUUUGCCUAGCAUGCGUGAGGCACUGGGUUUGAUCCCCAGUACCA
rnacentral:tRNA from 1 species